rnacentral:rRNA from 1 species
AUACGGAGGGGGUUAGCGUUGUUCGGAAUUACUGGGCGUAAAGCGUACGUAGGCGGAUCAGAAAGUAUAGGGUGAAAUCCCAGGGCUCAACCCUGGAACUGCCUUAUAAACUCCUGGUCUUGAGUUCGAGAGAGGUGAGUGGAAUUCCAAGUGUAGAGGUGAAAUUCGUAGAUAUUUGGAGGAACACCAGUGGCGAAGGCGGCUCACUGGCUCGAUACUGACGCUGAGGUACGAAAGUGUGGGGAGCAAACAGGAUUAGAUACCCCAGUAGUCC